rnacentral:rRNA from 1 species
UACGUAGGGUGCGAGCGUUGUCCGGAAUUAUUGGGCGUAAAGAGCUCGUAGGCGGUCUGUCGCGUCGGUCGUGAAAACUUGGGGCUUAACCCUGAGCUUGCGGUCGAUACGGGCAUGACUGGAGUUCGGCAGGGGAGACUGGAAUUCCUGGUGUAGCGGUGAAAUGCGCAGAUAUCGGGAGGAACACCGGUGGCGAAGGCGGGUCUCUGGGCCGAUACUGACGCUGAGGAGCGAAAGCGUGGGGAGCGAACAGG